CACAUAGAUGGCGAACGUUAUCCGGAAUUAUUGAGCGUAAAGGGUGCGUAGAUGGUUCGAUAAGUUAGUGGUGGGAAAUUAAGGCUCAACCUUAUGGAAGCUGCUAAUACUGUGGAACUAGAAGAUAGGAGAGGUUAACGGAACUCCCUGUGGAGCGGUAAAAUGUGUAGAUAUAGGGAAGAACACCAAAAAGGCGAAGGCAGUUAACCAUUCUAUUCUUGACAUUGAGGCACGAAAGCGUGGGGAGCAAAACGG
rnacentral:rRNA from 1 species